GUAGAUAAACAGAAAUACAUGUUACAUGUUAAGUAAAUGGUGGAGAUCAACACACAAGUCUAACCGUCAGUUUAAUCCUUUACUUGCCGCAAGCUUUUCCCAACAUUUGAUUUAUCCAUUUCUAAUCUAAUGGUUAUCUUAACUAAUUGUAUCAACCUUGAUUAUUUAAUCAACACAACCUGAAGUAAUUAAUGACUGGCCAACAAAGUGGAAGAAGGUAAGUUAAUGAGAAAAUAAAGGUUUUACCAGUUGGAAUUGUGGAUUUAUACCAAUAACAUUUUCUUAAAAGGUUACAUAUACUCUAUCGUUGAACAGAAAAGUAAUUAAGUGUAACCCUUGUUAUCAAUAACUCUAAGCAAAGGAAAAGAGGAAGGAAGCAAGAAAAAGGAAGCAAAAAGAAAUAUACAAGGAGGAACACGAAGAGGAGAAGAAGAAGAAGAAAAAAAAAUUCCAAGAUCUGAUAUACUAACAGGAGGAAUUCCUGAUUAAGGUGAUGGUGGUGGCGGUGGAAAAGAUUGAGCUUUCUCCUUGGUUAUUAUUCCAUAGGCAGAUGAGUUAACCUAUCAAGUGAGAUAAUAAAGGUUGGUUGCUCAAUGGAAGAAAAAAAGCAAAAUAGGAGAAGGAGAAAGGUGAAGGUGGAUAUGGAGAGAAUGAGGAGUAAAACAGGAUAAGUUACACAACUUGGAAUCAAGGAAUAAAGUGGAACCCAAAUGAGUCUUCAGAGUCUCUACACAUAGUCACUAUCAUCCCGAAAAUGAUGAGGAAAAGCACACAGGAGAAUUUUAACUUAUGGAUACACAAACUGCUAUCAUCAUUCUGAUCUUCAUUAUCAUCCUCAGUCAACAUCACCACUUAAACAAGCAUCGACAUGAACACGAAGAUUAAACCAUUUUUUACUACUUUUCUCCCCAUGAAAUUACAAAAGGAUGAAACUUGAAUUGGCUAACAUGAUGAUUCGUGUAACAACAACUUGGGACAUUGAAAAAGUCACUAAGCAAACUGAGAUUCACCAAUUGUCAAAGGAAACCAAUGAGAUGAUGAAUAAAAUCUUUGAAAGUUUGUUGAUUGAAUUUCGGAAACAGAAUAAGAACUUAACUAUCUCAAUUCAUUGAUGGACUAACAAGUUAUCGCUUCUCAUUAAGAUGAGUAACACGGAAGAGUAUCAAUUCAACUAAUAGAUAUUAUCAAAAUCUGUCCAUCUUAUAAUAUAAGAUGAUCAUCUUAAUUGCUGUUAUCUUUAGUCAUCAUCAUUAGAUUGAAUUUCACUGAGAAAAACUUUUUCUCAAAGAUAAUUUUCCCUGUUCGUUAUUGCUUUUUAUUAUUAUGGGAACUAAUCAUUUUUUCACCAUUUACAAGGUUUAAGCAAACAACCAAAGCUUUGGAAACAUUAUCUUAACAUUAACGAUACUAAAAAAAAGGAAACAAUUUAAUGAUCUUUUCACAUUAAUACUAAUCAAUCUAUUUAAAAGUUUCCAUUAUCAAGUUAUCAUUUGAUUUACAAAGAUGAGCAACAAUUAAGUAAUUGAAAUGAUGCAAAUUUAAAUGAUUCUAAUACUAUUGGUAUAAUUGCAGAAAGUUAAUUGGUCCAAUUGAAUUGAAAAUGUGUUUAACCAACAGCACAAGCUUGCUACUUAAUAGAUGAUAUUUGUUUCUGGCAACACUCAAAAAGACUGUGGAAACCUUGUAAAUUGUGAUGUGUGUUCAUGUCACAAUUAAUUUGCAAAUUAAAACCUGUUGACAUCGGAAGAAGACUAAGAAGUGAAUUACAGAGAGAAGGCAAAAAAAAAUGGGCUGAUGGGUUAACUGUAAUUCUCAAUGGAUAAGUGGACUUGAAGACACUGGCAACAGUUCAACAAUU